rnacentral:rRNA from 1 species
UUUAUUAAAACUUAAAUAAUUUGGCGGUAUUUUAGUUUAUUUAGAGGAAUCUGUUUAAUAAUUGAUAUACCACGAAUAAAUUUACUUAAUUUAUAAUUUUGUAUAUCGUUAUUAUAAAAAUAUUUUUUAAUAAAGUUAAUAUUUAAAAAUUGUUAUAUUAAUUUAAAUUAGAUCAAGAUGCAGAUUAUAGUUAAGAAUAUAAUGGAUUACAAUAAAAUUAUUUAAAUGAAUAUUAAUUUGUAAAAAUUAAUUGAAGGUGGAUUUAAAUGUAAUUUUAUUUAAUUAAAUAAAAUGAUUUAGUAUUAAAAUAUGU